GCGAGUUUCUCUCAAUCCCAAUAAUGAAAUCGUUGUACCACCCAUCCAAAAUUCUUUCGUUAGUUCUGGUGGGCACUAUCCAACUGCGAGAUAUUUGAUAGCACAGAGCCGAAACUUAUUGGCCGAAAACGCGAUGAAGGUUCACGCUAAAAGCAAACAAUAAGUCGAAAUCUUCACUAAUUCGAAGUGACGACUGACAAAGGUAUUUCCUGUCCUCAUUUUAAUGUGAAAAUUGGGGUGGGUGACGACAAAUUUCAUACGGAAUAUAAUAUUAUGAUCAACUGUGAAUAUGUUAAAAAUAUGUAACUACGCUAUGAAUAUGCUAAAAAUCUAUAAACCCAUUCCUAAUCCAAAAAUUCAUGCCAAUCAUUUUGUUUCUUUAAUUAUCUUUUAGGUUGAUAUAGAAUGAUAAGCGAUUAGUGGGCUUUGUUGGAGGUGUAUUGAUACAACGAAGCAUUGACCCCGUGUUAGAUUGAAUGAAUAUCUUGUAUCAAUUGAUGAUGCAGGGAAAGGAAUUUCGAAAGAGGUAGAUGAAAAUAUCUUUUUAGAAUUUGAUAAUGAGAACAUUUUGCACAGCAUGAACUUAGUGGAUGAUGGAAUUAUUCGAGUAGAUGGUGCGAUUGUGUCUGAGGUGGGAAUGAAGUUCAACAAUAACAAAAAAAAAUGUAUAAUUUUUGCAAAAGAUAUGCGUGCAACAUAGGAUCUUAGUCAACAUAUGGCUAAGAUCUCUUUGUACAAAAGUUACAACUCCGUAGUUAUAGAAGCAAGUGGGUAUGAGAACAUAACUUGCGUGAAAAAUGAUUGUUGAAAUUAUGUUGAACAAGUGAGGUGGUUAAGACUUUAGGAAUGAGAUGCACGAGCAAUACAAUCUUACUUCUCGGACAUGCAAGCAAGGUGCUAGGGAUAUUACUUUAGUAUGGAUCUAGACGACAAAUCGCUGCUGACGAAUAUUUUUGGACAGAUAAUAGGAGCAGACAAGCAUAUAAGGAGUUCGACAACAUUAUAACAUUUGAUAGCAAGUUAGACCGGAGGUGUAUUGAUACAACGAAGCAUUGACCACGUGUUAGAUUGAAUGAGUAUCUUGUAUCAAUUGAUGAUGCAGGGAAAGGAAUUUCGAAAGAGGUAGAUGACAAUAUCUUGUUAGAAUUUGAUAAUGAGAGCAUUUUGCACAGCAUGAACUUAGUGGACGAUGGAAUUAUUCGGGUAGACGGUGUGAUUGUGUCUGAGGUGGGAAUGAAGUUCAGCAAUAACAAAAAAAAAAAAUGUAUAAUUUUUGCAAAAGAUAUGUGUGCAACAUAGGAUUCCCAGUUAGGAAAAGAAAUUCACAAAAAGAUGAUGAUGAAGUUGUGAGAUAUGUUGUGUUCACAUAUAUCCGCGAAAGUCGAAGAAACAACAAUACAAGUGAUUCUUUGAUAGUGCAAGCUACCAUUCAAACAGGUUGUGAAGCUAGAUUGAUUGCAUCUACAGAUGCAUGUGGGAUAUAGAGAAUUAACAUAGUCAAUCUCAUUCACAAUCAUAAAAUAAGUUUUUCAAAGUCUAGGUUGUAUCAUUGUAAUCGAGAAUUGAAUACCCAUGUUAAACGAUGGGUUGAAGUGAUCGAUAUGGCUAAGAUCUCUUUGUACAAAAGUUACAAUUCCGUAGUUAUAGAAGCAGGUGGGUAUGAGAACAUAACUUGCGUGAAAAAUUAUUGUUGAAAUUAUGUUGAACAAGUGAGGUGGUUAAGACUUUAGGAAUGAGAUGCACGAGCAAUACAAUCUUACUUAUCGGACAUGCAAGCAAGAUGCUAGGGAUAUUACUUUAGUAUGGAUCUAGACGACAAAUAGCUGCUGACGAAUAUUUUUGGACAGAUAAUAGGAGCAGGCAAGCAUAUAAGGAGUUCAACAACAUUAUAACAUUUGAUAGCACGUAGCCAACUAAUAAGUAUGACAUGCCGUUUGCACUUUUGGUUGAAGUUGAUCAUCACGGACAUUCAACACUACUUAAUUAUGGUUUGAUGUCGAAUGAAAAUAUAGAAAUAUUUGUAUAGCCGUUCAAGAUUUGGUUGUAGUGCGUGCAUGGCCAAGCAUCCCAUAGGAUUAUUGCUGAUCAAGACAAUGCCAUGCAGAAUGUAAUUCAGAUCGUUUUGCCAAACACGAAGCAUUGAUGGUAUUUGUGGCAAUAUUGAAAAAGUUACCAAAAAAGUUUGGAUACCACGUGGAUAAGGGUGGAAUUGUUGCUACUAUAUACGUAUUGGUGUAUGAUUCUCAAACUGUUGAAAAACUUGAAUAAGGUUGGGAGUGAUAAUCGAUACAUAUAACUUCCACGAUAAUGAUUGGUUGUCGAGAAUGUACUCGAACAGAGGCCGUUAGGUACAUUGCUAUUUAAAAAGCACUUUUUUUGGCAGGAAUGCCAACAAUUCAACAUAAUGAGAGUAUAAAUGCACUAUUUGAUAGGUAUGUGUAUUUAAAGAUGUCGUUGAAGCAAUCUGCCAAACAAUACGAGCAAGCAUUGAGAAAUGAGGCAGAAAAUGAGUUUCGGGUAGAUUUCAAGUUAUACUUGCAAUAGUUCCAUGUGCAAAAAUGUAAGAGAUGGAGAAGCACUUUCAACUAGUUUAUACCAUUUUGAAAUUCAGGAAAGUUCAUGAUAAGUUCAUUGGGAAGGUUAAUUGUGACCUAAUUUCUUCUUCAGAGGGCUUUAUGGGGAUGGCGUAUGAGUUAUAGGAGGAUGUCGCAGGAUCGAAGUAUUAUAAAAAAAUUUCAUCACAUUUUAGAAAAAGAAAUGUAAAUUUGCUUGCAGCUGCCAUUUAUUCGAGUUUUAAGGAAUAAUAUGCAGGCAUGCGAUUGUUGUACUUAUCCGUAAAAACAUCACAGCACCAUCGAACAAAUACAUAUUAGGAGAUGGAGGAAAUAUGUGAGUAUAGACCACAUAAGGGUCGCAUUGGACUAUGAUUGGUUGAGUAGCACUCCUAGAUAGUUAUGAUAUGACAAGAUGUGUCAAUUAUUUGCAUCGCUGGGGGACAUGGCUAUAGAUGAUGGCAAUCAAACCCGUGCGGUAAUGGAGUGGAUUGAAUGCAAUAAGUCAGCCGUGAAGACAACGAGGUCGAGUUGCGAAAGUAAUGACACGUCCCAGCAAGAAGUUCAAACGGCUUCGGAUGGUAGAGUAUCACAGCAUACCAAUAGAGAAAGCAUACAUCAUCGAACAUCUCGAAGAGAAAAGGUGCACUGUAGAAAUUUCGAAAGAAAAGCCCUUUGAAAUCAAGUUCCAAUAAACCAAAGGUAAGUUGUCUUAAUUAAUUUAUUUAGUAUGGAAGUGCGUACGGGUACUAGUGACGAUACAUUAGGAAAUUUGCAGGCAACCCCGAGUUCAGCAAAUGAAAGAAGACUGAAGACACGAUAAUGUGAACUAGGAGAUGGUGCAUCAGACGUUCAAGCACAUCAUCAAUCACAACACCAAAUUUCGGCACCGAUCUCAUGUUCACAACUCUUACUAGUUCGUACAAUAAGAUUGUUCAAUGCAUUUGGUUGACACUUUUUACUUACAUUUUUAUUUGAUGUAGGGUGAAAACGAUAGUAAUGUAUUUGUACAAAACUCAUAGUCUCCCAAUUUUAUCCCUCCGGCUUCACCAAAUGUUAUAUUCAAUAGUCUAAGGUCAUUAACUUUAAAGUUUGUCGGUAG
rnacentral:lncRNA from 1 species